GACGGGAGGGGCGAGCGUUAUCCAGAAUUACUGGGCGUAAAGAGCAUUAAGGCGGUUUAUGAAGUUAAAUGUGAAAAAAUAAGUCCCAAGCUUAUAAACACAUUUAAAACCAGUAAACUGAUGAGUUCGGUAGAAGUUGGCGGAAUUCUUAAGAGGAGUAGUAAAAUGCGACGAUAAUAAGAGGAACACCAAUGGCGAUGGCAGCUUUCUAUGCCGGUACUGACGCUGUAGUGCGAAAGUGCGGGGAGCAAACGGG
rnacentral:rRNA from 1 species